rnacentral:rRNA from 1 species
CGAUGAUCCCGGUGCUUGCACCGGGUGAUUAGUGGCGAACGGGUGAGUAACACGUGAGUAACCUGCCCCCGACUCUGGGAUAAGCCCGGGAAACUGGGUCUAAUACCGGAUAUUCACUUCCUUCCGCAUGGGGGGUGGUGGAAAGAUUCAUCGGUGGGGGAUGGACUCGCGGCCUAUCAGCUUGUUGGUGGGGUAAUGGCCCACCAAGGCGACGACGGGUAGCCGGCCUGAGAGGGUGACCGGCCACACUGGGACUGAGACACGGCCCAGACUCCUACGGGAGGCAGCAGUGGGGAAUAUUGCACAAUGGGCGAAAGCCUGAUGCAGCGACGCCGCGUGAGGGAUGACGGCCUUCGGGUUGUAAACCUCUUUCAGUAGGGAAGAAGCGAAAGUGACGGUACCUGCAGAAGAAGCGCCGGCUAACUACGUGCCAGCAGCCGCGGUAAUACGUAGGGCGCAAGCGUUAUCCGGAAUUAUUGGGCGUAAAGAGCUCGUAGGCGGUUUGUCGCGUCUGCCGUGAAAGUCCGGGGCUCAACCCCGGAUCUGCGGUGGGUACGGGCAGACUAGAGUGAUGUAGGGGAGACUGGAAUUCCUGGUGUAGCGGUGAAAUGCGCAGAUAUCAGGAGGAACACCGAUGGCGAAGGCAGGUCUCUGGGCAUUAACUGACGCUGAGGAGCG